GACGAACGCUGGCGGCGUGCUUAACACAUGCAAGUCGAACGGAAAGGCCCUGCUUUUGUGGGGUGCUCGAGUGGCGAACGGGUGAGUAACACGUGAGUAACCUGCCCUUGACUUUGGGAUAACUUCAGGAAACUGGGGCUAAUACCGGAUAGGAGCUCCUGCUGCAUGGUGGGGGUUGGAAAGUUUCGGCGGUUGGGGAUGGACUCGCGGCUUAUCAGCUUGUUGGUGGGGUAGUGGCUUACCAAGGCUUUGACGGGUGGCCGGCCUGAGAGGGUGACCGGCCACAUUGGGACUGAGAUACGGCCCAGACUCCUACGGGAGGCAGCAGUGGGGAAUAUUGCACAAUGGGCGGAAGCCUGAUGCAGCAACGCCGCGUGCGGGAUGACGGCCUUCGGGUUGUAAACCGCUUUCGCCUGUGACGAAGCGUGGGUGACGGUAAUGGGUAAAGAAGCACCGGCUAACUACGUG
rnacentral:rRNA from 1 species